GUGGGGAAUAUUGGACAAUGGGCGAAAGCCUGAUCCAGCCAUGCCGCGUGUGUGAAGAAGGUCUUCGGAUUGUAAAGCACUUUAAGUUGGGAGGAAGGGUAGUAACCUAAUACGUUGCUACUUUGACGUUACCGACAGAAUAAGCACCGGCUAACUUCGUGCCAGCAGCCGCGGUAAUACGAAGGGUGCAAGCGUUAAUCGGAAUUACUGGGCGUAAAGCGCGCGUAGGUGGUUCAGUAAGUUGGAAGUGAAAUCCCCGGGCUCAACCUGGGAACUGCUUUCAAAACUGCUGAGCUAGAGUACGGUAGAGGGUGGUGGAAUUUCCUGUGGAGCGGUGAAAUGCGUAGAUAUAGGAAGGAACACCAGUGGCGAAGGCGACCACCUGGACUGAUACUGACACUGAGGUGCGAAAGCGUGGGGAGCAAACAGGAUUAGAAACCCUAGUAGUCC
rnacentral:rRNA from 1 species